UGCAAGUCGAACGGAAAGGCCCUUUCGGGGGUACUCGAGUGGCGAACGGGUGAGUAACACGUGGGUGAUCUGCCCUGCACUUCGGGAUAAGCCUGGGAAACUGGGUCUAAUACCGGAUAGGACUACGGCCUGCAUGGGUUGUGGUGGAAAGCUUUUGCGGUGUGGGAUGGGCCCGCGGCCUAUCAGCUUGUUGGUGGGGUGAUGGCCUACCAAGGCUACGAAUCGGUAGCUGGUCUGAGAGGAUGAUCAGCCACACUGGGACUGAGGCACGGCCCAGAACUCCUACGGGAGGCAGCAGUGGGGAAUAUUGGACAAUGGGCGAAAGCCUGAUCCAGCAAUGCCGCGUGGGUGAAGACGGCCUUCGGGUUGUAAAGCCCUUUCAGUUGGGACGAAGCGAGAGUGACGGUACCUGGGGAAGAAGCGCCGGCUAACUACGUGCCAGCAGCCGCGGUAAU
rnacentral:rRNA from 1 species